AAUUAUUUAACAAAAAGCACUUAAAUCCAUGUGGGAUUUUUAAAGCUAUGGUAGUAGAAGCCAGACCAAAUACUUAAAUCUCCUAUAUUCAAAUAGGAAUUGUGGAGAAUCUACAGUUUUUGCCCAAACUUGGUUUUUGUGUGUCUCAGCCCAAGGAAGGAGGUGCAGCAGGAGCUGCCUGUGCACAGCUGUUCCAGCUGCUGAGCACUGAAGGUGGCCCGUGAGGAGCUGCACACUACGGUGGUGCAUUGUGAGUGUUUACUGUUGUACAGGGCUGCGUGUUGAUUAUUAUACACAGCUCAAUUAGCAGUAAUCACAGAGCUCUGCCUCUUCACCACGCACAGCUGCUUUACUCUUAAUAAGAGGCCUGAGCUGAAGGCAGUGAUUUUGAUUUGCCACGUGCUCCCUUCUGGAGUUUGUGUCCAACCUUUGCAGGGACAGGAGAGGAGCUGGGACCAUAUGGAGAACUUCUCUACAGCUGGGUUUUAAACAAGAGGUGGAGAAACAGGCCUGGAAGACAUGGUCCAGUGUAAGUUAAUUAGCUAAAUACUGCCCCUUCCCUUCCUGGUUGUAAAACAGCCCUGGGUAACUACAUGGCUACAGUCAUUUUCUCUUAGAGAUCACAAUCUGCUUUCACCACAGUAAAGACACUUAAUUCAGCUGUCGGUUGCUGGCUUCGUUAGCUCUUAAAUAAACAGACUAUCUGAAGUGUGGUUUUAAUUACUGUUUUAUUAAGAUAUUGGUAAAACUUCAACAGUUUUUUCUGUAUAAACAGCUUUCAUAAAUAAAAUAUGGAUGACUAAUA